UGUCGCUUUGGAGAUAGUAGCCGUGUCUCUUCACAUCUCUCUACUCCGGAGUUCAUCUCUGUAACGGAUGUAGUUAUCCUCGGUUGGCGACAUUAAUCCUCCCACUACUGCAUCAACACCUACUGCAUCAUUCCUCCCACUAUCUCCAAUGAAAUCGACCAUAGCAUCUUCCAAAGUAACCGACUGAAUCUUACCCUAUACUUCGCCUCUUGGAUGAACAGAUACCAAAACCAAAUCCCAAAAUUCUCUCUCUCAAGCAUCAGAUCCAUCAAUGGCGAAUCGUUUACUCUUCUUGCCGAUUUGAAAGCUGGUCGCUCGCUGUUCAAGCACGGGUGAGGUCUGCUGCUCAGAUUCUGGGAAGUAAGGAAUGUUAAGAAAGGCGGCCAAUUCAUGGGUGUUGACAUAGCUCCUCCUUGACAAGCAGUUAACAACGAGACUUACAUAGUCGCAAUACGUCCCAGUCAGUUAAAGAUGUUCUUGGUUUUAGGAUGGUUUUGGUUUUCAAAAGUAGGACCGUGUAGCAUUUGGUAAUAUGGUGUGUGAAGUGGAUUAAGCGGUUAGACUUUUCGCUCCAGAGGAAGCAGCUUAGGCUUAUAAUAAGCUAAGAAGUUCGAUAUCUGGAAGGAAUAGACUGACAUAUCAUAUAUAUUCUCUGUAAUCUCUAAUGCAGUUAACAACAGAUGAUUCGCUUCAAGCUAGAAGAAAGAGGACUGUUAGAUAGGAAAGAUAGGAGCUCUGAGUCGUGGAGACAAGUUGCUAUAAACGAGGCUGCUAUGGCUGUUGUGGCAGUGAACUUUCCUGAUCUGUAGAGUAUAGAAUUUGUAGUUUUCUUAAAUCUCUUUGUGUUCAAACUCCUUUUAUAGAUUUGAAGUUUGGUCUUUAACUGACAUUGCAAUGACUUUGACCUGCUGACAAUCAACCCUAGAGCUGGUAGAGAAUUGGGUAAUGUCCGGGUGAAGAAUCAUACCAGAUUCAAGAAGGCAUGCUUAGCCGACCAUCCAUCUGGGAUCACAUAACUGUUCAGCUUGCAUCUCGUGCUACAAUGAACAAUGGUAUGGUGCGACCAGUUAAGUACGAUAUGGGCAGAAACAUCGGAUAAUGCAAGGUCAGCUGCUAGAUCACUGGUUCUUGGUGGUCUCUCUGAGAAACAUCAUGGCUUGAAUAACUUCUGGGUGGCUGAUCGAACCAACUUAAGGCCAUAUCGUGAAUUGUGUUUAACUUUUGAUUAUCAUCAUCUCAUUACUUGGAUUGAUUUGCAGGAUAUUGAUGUGGAGGCAUUGCGGAUAUUGAACAUGUAUUACGACCGUGCUAAAGAGGUAAAGAGCUUUCCAGAUUCAAGUAUGUAAAUACGCUGAGUAAUUUUAUUCAUUGGUAGUGUGCUGUCAUGCAUGGAUUUAUCUCUCUUAACUGUAUAUAGUAAACUUGCGCUACAUGUCUAUUGAUGCUUGUCUUUUCUUUUCUGAGCUAACUUCUGUUGCUUGAUCUUACAUUCACACAUCGAGGGUAUGGGAGUUUAACGAGAGCACAUAUUACAUAGAAUGAGACACUGGUCAUCAUGUGUUUCAGAAGGUGUUUGGUAAAUUGCAGUCAAUAUAUAUUAUGGAAGACAACAUCAUGUGUUUGAGACGGUGACUUCUUCUUUUGCUGGAAACUAAACUUCUUAACAGGAAUACGUGACAGACCUCAUGAAACCUUAAUCGCUGACUACGUCAACUUUGUUGUCUCUUGGGUGGUCCCCUGAUAAUGUGAUCUUCGGUUGAGACAUUGUCAAAAGAUGAUUUAGCUUCCUGGUUAACUUGACAGUAGACACUGGUCUGUGGGAUCUCUACUACUUUCUGAUACACUCAUCGCUGUAAUAGAUGGUACGUUUUGACUAGGUAACCCAAAUGAAGCAGCACAGGAUGAAGAAGUUGUCGGAAUUGAGAGGGUUGAAAGAAAAGUUAUCGCUGAAAUGAGUGAGAGAUCUGAAGAUGAUAUACCUGGUAAUAAUGCAGAAGCAAACCAUUCCGACAUAGACUCAGAAGAUUACAACGGACCGUUUCAUGAAAUGAGAUCUAGAGGGAAGAAGAUAACAUUCUUGAAACCUAAGAGUAGCAAUAGAAGAACAUUUCUGAUUUGUUUGGUAAAUUCAAGCGAAGCCAAUCCAAGGCAUUAGCAAAUUUCUUUGUUAUCAUAAAUAACUUCAUUGAUUUGUGGAGUAUAAGUUAAUGAUACUUUAAAAUCUCCAAGGUUUAAGGAUC